rnacentral:rRNA from 1 species
AUGAACGCUAGCGGCAGGCUUAAUACAUGCAAGUUGAGGGGCAGCAUGAUAUACGCGAGUAUAUUGAUGGCGACCGGCGGACGGGUGAGUAAUAGGUAGGAGACCUACCUCAUACAGGGGGAUAGCAUAGAGAAAUCUGUGGUAAUACCCCAUGAGGUUAUAUGAAUAGAGGCAUAUAAUCAAAGCAUAAGCGAUUAUGCGGUAUGAGAGGGGCCUACUGACCAUUAGCUAGUUGGUGAGGUAAGGGCUCACCAAGGCGAAGAUGGUUAGGGGUUUGAGAGAGAGACCCCCCACAUUGGAACUGAGAGACGGUCCAGACUCCUACGGGAGGCAGCAGUAGGGAAUAUUGGGCAAUGGGCGAAAGCCUGACCCAGCCAUGCCGCGUGAAGGAAGACGGCCUUAUGGGUUGUAAACUUCUUUACUACGCGAAUAGAGGUUAGUACGAGAUACUAAUAGGAAGGUAGUGUAGUAAAAAGACACCGGCUAACUCCGUG